rnacentral:rRNA from 1 species
GAUGAACGCUGGCGGCGUGCCUAAUACAUGCAAGUCGAGCGAACAGAUAAGGAGCUUGCUCCUUUGAAGUUAGCGGCGGACGGGUGAGUAACACGUGGGUAACCUACCUAUAAGACUGGGAUAACUUCGGGAAACCGGAGCUAAUACCGGAUAAUAUUUAGAACCGCAUGGUUCUAAAGUGAAAGAUGGUUUUGCUAUCACUUAUAGAUGGACCCGCGCCGUAUUAGCUAGUUGGUAAGGUAACGGCUUACCAAGGCAACGAUACGUAGCCGACCUGAGAGGGUGAUCGGCCACACUGGAACUGAGACACGGUCCAGACUCCUACGGGAGGCAGCAGUAGGGAAUCUUCCGCAAUGGGCGAAAGCCUGACGGAGCAACGCCGCGUGAGUGAUGAAGGGCUUCGGAUCGUAAAACUCUGUUAUUAGGGAAGAACAAAUGUGUAAGUAACUGUGCACAUCUUGACGGUACCUAAUCAGAAAGCCACGGCUAACUACGUG